UGUCUCCUCUCUCUCUCUCUUUCUCUCUCUGUCUGUGCUGUAGCUGCCACAAAACAGUCUCCUGCUGGCCUUCACCUUGUCCUCUGUGUCCCUUGUUGGAUUGCUGCUGACUCGGUGACAGCUGGAGGGCCUGCAUGAACUAUUCCAGGCAAGAAAUGAAGUCUUGAGGAAGAAGAGGAAUUUGCUGUCUGAUGACUUCAAGAAGCUAAAGCAGGAAACCAAGGGAGACAGCAGCUAGCAGGGCAGCAUUCAGCUUCACUGCAGAAAAGGGACUGAAGAAUCAUGAAUCAACAGCAGCAAGUAAAGAAAAGAGGAAACAAAAAUCAGGAAAGAAAAAAAAAAUCACUGGCCUGGGUUACAGUGAGAGAGGGUAUCUCAAGUGUAACACCACACAUUUGUGCCAUGAAGGGGAAAGCUGUGGUGGAGCCUGUGCAUCUGUGCAUGGAUGGGAGGAACAGAAAAAGGGAUAUGUGCUUGUGUCCUCCAGGGGAGUGAAAGACAUAGAGGGUUGUUUUGGGGUGGGGAGUCUCGAAAAGAGCGUGGGGGAGCAGGGAGAGGCAAGGGGAGGAGGUGCAACAGGACAGGACGGCGCAUUAUUAUGUUGCUCAGCAGGGGCUGGGGAAGGUGAAAAGGCAGAAGGGAAGGAAGUUCUUACCACAUUUGGAAAGUCUGCCAGUCAUCAACUCCAUACAGUUAGUGGUGUCUGGAUCAUAGAACGGAAAGAGGAGGGAGGGAGGGAAAAACAUAAAAAAAGGUUUCCAUACCUCUGUGCAUAAAGUAUUAACUUAGCACAUUAUUACCUGAAGCAGGAAACACAUACACAUCUUGGUGUUUACACAACCCAGGCCAAAUUCUGCCACCAACUCUGUGCCAGUGCAAACCUGGCCCUGUGACUGAGAGUGGAGCUGCUUCAGUACUGCUGCCUCCACUCACCCCUUUAUCAAAGCCAGAGGUAUUCAUGAGAUGUGGGAAAUACUCUGCCACCACAUUAGCGAACUGUAAGCCUUGAAUACAGUGCUUCACCUGGCUAGCUUUGCAAAUUAGCCUGCAACAGCCAGGAAACACUCAGCCAGCUCAUAUAUCUACAUCAAAAACCCGGAGAGAGGGAAGAAAUCUAGCCCUGUGCUGCUGGACAUGGAGUGAGGCUACUUGUACAGCUCAAAGUCAUCUUUUAAACCCCAAAGGAUAAUGUGAAAGUUUCAAUCUAACUCUCUCAUUCAGGUGUAAUCUCUUACUGCUCUUGCCUUCAAGGUGAGUAUUCACAGGCAAUAGAAGCACUUCUGGGAAGGGUGGCAGAAUCUGGCCCUAAGACAUUACUGUCCACUUGGUGUAUAGCUCCCAUUGCCACAGACUCUGGGUGCUUCUUACUCAGGUGCAACAAGCAGAAGGAGCUCCACAUGUCAGCUUUAAAACAGAAAGGCCCAGCCCAGCUGGACACUUCCAUGUGGAACCUGCUGCAAAGCCAGAUCUGCUGCUGUCAGACAGGAUUCCCUUGCAUUUGGGAUCUAAAUCAAUGUGUUCCAGGGGAAUGUGGAGUACUCACUGCUGAGCAGGUGGCUACCAGUUAAAGCAUUCAGAUCAGUCUCAGAUAUUCCCUUGCCUGGGCUCUUGAUGAACACUUGGGUAUUCAAGAAAUAGGCUUGGAAAAAUGCACACAUAUGCUGAAAAUCCCUAAUUGCCAGGAAGCUCUAACUACUCCCUGUCUGCUAUAAAGUCUGCAGGACAGAGGGGAAGAUAAUUUCUCAGCAUUCCUCCCCUUAAAUAUUGAGAAAAGUAAUUUAAUAAGAGGAGGAAUAUGCUAGGGUGAGCUGAACUCAUGCUAGAAGAGCAUGGAUAUGCAUCUCUUCUGAUGCAGCCAGGCUUGUGCUGGACAGAUCAUCUGGGAAAGUAGAGAGGGCAGCUGCUUGGUCCAGUGGCACUGGUCAAAGCAUCUAAGCAGGGGUCACAUAUUCUCCAUCCCUGAGGCUAAAGGUGGGCUGGCAGAGGUCAGUGGGAGAUGAUACCAUGGAAGUUCUCUCAGAAAGCCACAAGACUGGGAGAAAGGGCAAGAAGAACUGAUGAUGUGAAGGAGAAGAGAACAUACAAGAUCUAGAACAACAGAAGUGUCAGAGAGGCCAGGAGUUUACCUGCCUUUGAAAUUCUUUACUUGGUCUGGCAGGAAAACAAUUUCAUAUACAAUACAAUUUCAAUACAUUUCUCCCUGAAGAUGCCUAGCAGGUUUGAGAAGUGCCUACAGCUGCUGAUCAAGCCAAUGAUCAGAACUCACACUCAUGGGUCUGUAUAAUCAUUUUUCUUUACUAAUUUGGAGAACUCUGUUGUCUUGUGCC